rnacentral:misc_RNA from 1 species
GAAAUGCGAUAAGUAGUGUGAAUUGCAGAAUUUAGCGAAUCAUCGAAUCUUUGAACGCACAUUGCGCCCCUUGGUAUUCCAUGGGGCAUGCCUGUUCGAGCGUCAUUUCAACCCUCAAGCACUGCUUGGUGUUGGGCGUUUGUCCCGCCUACGCGCGUGGACUCGCCUCAAAGUCAUUGGCAGCUGUUCCCCUUCGGCUCGUAAGCGCAGCACAGUCGGCGCCCGGAGCUCUGGUGUGAUGGCGUCCAGCAAGCUAUAUUUUCAGGCUUGACCUCGGAUCAGGUAGGGAUACCCGCUGAACUUAAGC